rnacentral:rRNA from 1 species
ACGGCUCAGUAACACGUGGACAACCUACCCUAUGGAGGGGGAUAACCCCGGGAAACUGGGGAUAAUACCCCAUAGACUAUGAAUGCUGGAAUGCUUUGUAGUUGAAAGGUCCGCCGCCAUAGGAUGGGUCUGCGGCCGAUUAGGUUGUUGUUGGGGUAACGGCCCAACAAGCCUGUAAUCGGUACGGGUUGUGGGAGCAAGAGCCCGGAGAUGGAUUCUGAGACACGAAUCCAGGCCCUACGGGGCGCAGCAGGCGCGAAAACUUUACAAUGCGGGAAACCGUGAUAAGGGAACUCCGAGUGCCCGUAAAAUCGGGCUGUCCAUCUGUUUAAAUAACAGGUGAAGAAAGGGCCGGGCAAGACCGGUGCCAGCCGCCGCGGUAAUACCGGCGGCUCGAGUGGUGGCCACUAUUACUGGGCUUAAAGCGUUCGUAGCUGGUCUGUUAAGUCUCUGGGGAAAUCUACUGGCUUAACCAAUAGACGUUUCAGGGAUACUGGCAGACUAGGGACCGGGAGAGGUGAGAGGUACUCCAGGGGUAGGAGUGAAAUCCUGUAAUCCUUGGGGGACCACCUGUGGCGAAGGCGUCUCACCAGAACGGCUCCGACAGUGAGGGACGAAAGCUGGGGGAGCAAACCGGAUUAGAUACCCGGGUAGUCCCAGCUGUAAACGAUGCGCGUUAGGUGUAUCGAUGACCACGAGUCAUCGAGGUGCCGAAGAGAAAUCGUGAAACGUGCCGCCUGGGAAGUACGGCCGCAAGGCUGAAACUUAAAGGAAUUGGCGGGGGAGCAG